rfam:Varibaculum cambriense DORA_20 Q618_VCMC00001, whole genome shotgun sequence.
CCGGUUCCGGUUCACCUUAUGUAACCUGCAUUUGGACCCGGCGCC